GUCAGAGACAUUUCACAUUUAGGUAAAGAAACUUCAGUCAGUUUAGGAGAGUAAGAAAUACAACUUUGGAACACAGCUCUAUCCUGGGGAGGGAAAGAGAAAAGAAAAACACAAAAGAAAUCACAGACUCCAGGAAAUCAACCAAAACAUCUUACGCUCUUCUUUGCUGCCCUGCUUUGGUACCGUGCCUUAGGACCUGACUUUGGUGUGAUCCAAGCUCGUGUUGACUGUACCAGCCCGUUUUGACUGUGCCAAAGCAAUACAAAACGGAAAGGGAGUCUGCCUUGGUUCAAAACAGGCACUGCAUUGGAGACAUGAAGAAAAAGAGGUGGGGCUCUCUGCUCAGAAUAGAACCCAGCAAGUUGGAGCUGGAAGGGCCCUUCACCAUUAUGGAAACCAACCUGCUUGACAGAUGUGGAGCACAAGACCCAGAGACUGAACUGAGUCCUUGCCCCAGCCUCACAGCCACUAGUUUGAGAGCAGCAGUGGCAGCCCUGGACCCUUGCUGCUCAUGUGAUUGUCCUGAUCAUCUCUGUUGUGCAAAUGAGGAAACUGAGGCUCAGAGCGGCAGACCGGAUCCAAGGCUCCUUGCUAGAGAGUGGUAGAGCUUAGAGCCUAGAUCUUCUUGACUCCCAAGAAAUUUCCCUUUCUCUGCUCCCAGAAUAUGGGUGUAGGGAGCAGAGGCUGAGAGACUGAGUAGUGGAUAGUCUCAUGCCCUAGAGAUGGCAGGGACAGGGCACAAGCUGGGAAACAUCCCGCCCUGUGUAUCUAAGGGUCAGAUCCUCUCUCCAUGAUUGCCCUGAAAUGAACCAAAGACCAACAUUAUUCCGAAAUUCGCUUUUGAGAGUCUGGGGCUGAAGGGAUUGACUGGUGGCUCUUCUGGUCUUUGAGGGUCUAGAGAUUCCAGAGAGGCCUGAGUCUGCAGAUUGCCUACCUGCAGGAGGCUACAGUUCCACCUGGGUAGGGGAAAGGGGCCCUACUGCUUAGCUUCUCCUUCCUGGAGCAGUAUCAGUGAGGCACCACACACACGUACUCUCCAGACCCAAACUCAUACACAGAUUCCAAGAGCUUGCUCUUCAUCCUGCUCCUCAUUUGCCCGCUCCCAGCCUCCAUUCUCACCUCUUCUUAGCUUCCUACUGUUUCACUCACUCAGCAAUGCCAGGGACUUAAGUGUCAGUGCUAUGCAGGGCACUGGAAAGCCUCAAAAAGCAGACUGCCGCUGGCGGGUGGGGGGGGGCAUACGGUCUGGGAGAAAGCAGAAGUCACCAAAUGCAUAUGUAAAAUAAUUUAUAAUCAUACACUGAUAAGCUUUGUGAAUCAUAGUACAGUUGCUGUUCUAGGUUGUAACGGUAAGAAUGCUGUGUACAUAGUGUGAUCGUUGAGACACAGACUAAAAAUGACUAAUAUCGAUCAUUUCCCAAACAGAAGGCCUAAAGUGAACCUUCACUGCCAUUAUGCCCACACACCACCUGUGCUUCUGAGGGAGGGGAGUGUAAGUCAUCUCCCCAGGGGAAACCAGUCAGUCUGUGCCAGAGGUCCUAGCUGACAUGGAUGGGAGAGGGGAACCCAUAUGCUGACGCCAUGCCAAUGGUCACCAGCAAGGGAAGGGGCUGGCUCUAUCUAGGGUGGGUGAAGAGACUGGGAGAGAGUGUUCACCUAGGUGGCAAGCAUGGCUAAAGCUUGAGACUGGGAGAAUUUGGGGGUCAGGGAUGGGAACCUGCUGUACGCACUAUUGAGGGGGGUUUAAGCCGCUGGCAUCAUCACUUCCAGGAGGAGUCACACCAUGCUCAGCUCCCCACACACCUGAUCCUCCCACGAUCACGUGCACAGACUCGGGUCCCUCUUUCACCCUUAAGGAAAGGCUGGGCCUGCCCCUGAGCAAAGGGGAACCAAAAGACCCUGUCCAGUCUGGAGAGCAGAGCUGAGCCUUGAGGUCAGACAGCUAUGAGCUCCGGUCCCACUGCAGCCUCCGCAUGACCUGGGCGAGGCUCCUUCUCUAUGAGCCUCCUCAUUCCAUUCCCCAUCACAUUGGCCGUCCCUCACCAUGCCUGGCCGUGAGGACAAGCCCUGCACGGCCACACUACUUGGCCCAAGAUUUGCCAUUAAUAAGCGACGCUGUCACUCUGAUUAUAUAACAUAAUAAUU